GGUCACGUAGCUUAGUGGUAGAGCACUGUGUUCACAUCGCAGGGGUCACAGGUUCAAGUCCUGUCGUGAUCA
rnacentral:tRNA from 1 species